UUUUCAAUACCUGGAAGUGCUAAGCUGUCUUAAUUUCUAGAGUUUUGAGGAGGUGGUGCCCCACUAUGGGGCCAUUUACUAUUUUUUAAAGUUUGUGUAAUUUUUCUUUCAAAAAGAAGAGUACAGGAACUAUUUCUAAGAUAAAAGAGAAGCAUGUUUUUAUCUUGGGCAGGCUAGGAAUGAACAGACUAAAGAACAAAAAAUGCCUGACCCUGGGCUGAGAUGAUGCCAGCAAGUGUUGCUGAGGGUGUUUUCUGUAGAACUACAUGGAAGCUGUGCCAAUAGUUCUGUUCAUUCCAGCUCAGUUAGCUGGAACUCUUCAUAGAAUCCACAAGACUUGCGGCAGUAUAUCCUUGGUACCCACUUAAUUGUUAUCACUAAUAUGAGCAAAGAAAAAGUUCCAUUAGAGCUGUAAACAUCAUCAAGAUAUCCAUGCAGUUAAUGGGAACAGAUGGUUUCAACACACAUGUACCAUCCUCAAAAAUUAUUAGGCAAAAUGUUUUUUAUUUGCCAUUGGAUUUAUGAAACUUGGCUAGAAAGCAAUGGUUAUUAUGCUGGAUAGUAUAUUAAGAGAAGUAGGUUUAUAGCACUUUACCUAUAUUAUAUCAUUCAAUUAUCAUUAUAACCCCAUUAGGUAAAUUUUUUUACUAUGCCCAUUUUACAGGUGAAGGAAAAAAAGAGUCUUCCAUUGAGCAAUUUGCCCAAUAUAAAUAUAUAAAUAUUUAGUAAUGUUACAAGAACUUAAGUAUAGGUCUCUCUGGGUCUGAAGCAUUUUUGUCUUUGAUUUAGCAGAUUAUUAUCCCAAAGAGAAAGUGUAUGCUAUCCAAUAAUUUAUUUUUAGCAUCUAUUAUUUUUCAGCAUUAUUUUAUGUACCUUAGAGAUAUAAUGCCCUGGUGAUAUUUGACUUAGCUCUCAGAUGUUUACAGUCCUUAAUGUCAAGGCUAAGUGAUGUGAGUAAAACAAUCAGUAAAUGAUUUUAAGAUGCAAUGAUUAUAUGUUGAUAAAAUGAAACCAAGAGACAAUCUAAUAUGACAUACAGAGCCAUAGAUUUGAAAUCAGAAAUGUGAGUUUAAGCACAGUUCUGUCACUUAUUUCUAUAUGACUUUAGGCACAUUACAUAAUUUUGAUCUGGUCUUGGAGAUUUGUCUACUAUGUCUAUUAGACUUAUAUCUGAAUCCUGGUCUCUUCCAAAUAUCAGAGUAUAUACAGUUCUGCUUAAGCUCACUUCUGAUAGCUAACAUUGAAGACAAGUCUAGAGCAAUGUGUGUCCUCUUACCAGGAGGACUCUGGUGCCUCCUAGGAGGAAUGGUAAUAUAGGCAGCCACUGAGCAUCUGGGGAGCAGUGAGACUCAGCAGUGUGGGGGCAGAGCAGGCACUGUACUUGGUUAGGAGCUGUCAGAAUGGUCUUCAACUUUUGCAUGGGUGGGCACAAGAAGAUAAAGAGAGUCUACAUGUACAAAUAGUUAACUGUUGAACAUAGGGAUACUAGUCUAACAAAGUAUGUUCUAUCCUCCCAUCAGCUUGAUAGUACUGGGAAUGUUUGGCCACCCCCAGCCUGUGGCCUGCAUACAGCCUAUUUUCUGUUCCUAUCCAGGCUCUGUCCAGCACCAUAAGUAGCCUCUCAGAUGGACACUCAACCUAAGUGCCCAAGCUCUUUUGCAGACUGCCACAAAUAACUCCUCUCAGUUACCCCUCAGGCCUAAGAGUGUUCUUUAUGACAGAGUGAUCUGCUCUCACAACGAUGGACUUGGGUGGGUAGGACCUGCCGGUGAGGUGUUGCCUCCAUAGCAGGCAGAAUCCUGCAGGGAGGGAAGUCCCUUUCAGAAAUCUUUUCAGCUAUAAAAGGAAGAAAAUAAGUAAUUAAUAUAAGCAUGAAUUCUGGCAUAGGUUGUUAAAACUUCAGCAUUUGGCAUAAAUAUAUUUGAGGAAAUAGUGUCUACAAAAUCCUUCCCAUUUGAUUCACAAUAAUGAUUAUAUCCCCAGCACCUAAUUCAAGACACGAUACAUUUCUACUCAACAAGAUGAAUAAACAUUUGUUAAAUAAAUGCAUAAGUAGACAACAAAGUCAUGUAGUAGAGCCAAAAUCCAUUUGAAUAAGAAGGAAUUCCACAGGCCAAAUCAGAAUAAGUGGAUGGAUGAAUGCAUAAAAUAUUAUUUAAAACAGGGGUGGGGAACCUUUUCUCUGCCAAGGGCCAUUCGGAUAUUUAUUGCACCAGCUGUGGGCCAUACAAAAUUAGCAACUUAAGAAUUAGCCUGCUAAAGAUUACUGAAUUUCGAUUCUUACCUGCAGUUGCCUUGCAAAGGACAGACCAAAUGAUUUCCCAGGCCUUCUGCAGCCAACAGGAUGGACAUUUCCCACCCCGAUUUAAAAGAUAAUAGGAGUACAGUCAGUUUCACUAUUAUAUUGUGACUAGGUAAGCAAGCUUAAGUCAAGAAUCAAGAUACGUAAGGAAUAAGCCAGAAUUGAGAAGGUGAAAAUAAAAAGAAAUAAAAUGUUCCUUGUUGUCCUUGGAAUUUGGGAUACAUUUUGGGGGGAAUGAGUUUUUGAAGAGAUUGUCCUCUACAGGUACUGGCAAAGUCCUGAGAAAAGCAAACUUAGGCUCCCCUGGGUUUUUACAGCACUGAGGCAACACACAAUCAACAACCAAACUUUUUGUAAUUAUGUGAAUCUAUAUAUGUUAUUGUCUGCCAGAUUUGUUAUACUCUUUUUCCCAUCCAUAGUGUAAUGAAAGCUCUAUCGUUUCUGAUAAAUCUAAGCAAUCUUUUCUUGUAUCACAUUUUUAAAAAAUGACAAAAUGGACCUAGGUUUUCCUUUCUUAUAUUAGAGAUGUAACCCAAGAUUAUCUCUCUCAGGAAAUUGUCCUGCUUUAUCCUGGAAAGAAUUCAGGUGAAAAGGGCUUGGGGAAAACUUGUGAAAGGGGACUUAAUGCAUUUUUAAAAAGUUGCUCUCCUAAGAGUUUCUCAUUGGCAACAAGAGUCUGGAAGCAGUUAUCCUUGUUCUCAUGUCAGUUUAAGAUAUUUAAGAUCUAAUAUAUUGAAACUCCCACUUAUUAGGAUUUCAAAUGAGAUACUUAAGGAAGCUUAGGGUUCUUUUAUUUCCCAGAGUGAUGUCUCUAAGAAACGUUCUUCCUCAUGGAGGAGACUGACUGUGGAAGCCACGAGAAGGCUGGCCAAUAGGUGAUGUUCUCAGCAGAAAGAUCCAGGGGAGUAAGCUACUGGCACUCUUCUCUGUGUUCAGAAUACAUCACCCAUCCUGUUGAUUUAUGAGAUUUCCCCAAUAUUAAUACUGCUUGAAUCCUCAGCUCAUUUCGUCCUGAAUAAUUUUGGCCUACCCUACCAUGCAUGCAGUAGAUUCCUUGGCUUUGCUUUGUUGAUUGCAUGUGUACCCUUUCAGUGUGCUUUCUACUGUGUAUCAAAAGAUAACUGAAUCAAUGGGGUAUUGGUUGACCAAGAACUUUUUCCAGUUUUCUCCCAACGCCUAUAGAAUCUGAUGGUUUAUAAAAACAUGUUGUUUGUGUCAGUGACCACUAGAUGGAGGUAUAAAUUUUGAAGCGCAGGAUGAAUGUUCCAUGUUUGUGUUUUCUAGAAGUAAUGGUACAAAGUAAUAAUACCAUUGCUGUGUUCUGAGAUGUCUAGAAAUUCUACUGCCUUGGAUAAUACUCAAUUCAUACACUGUUUCAACUCAUUUAGCAAAUAUAUAUAUAUAUGUGUGUGUGUGUUUUAUAUAUAUACACACAUACAUAUAUAAAAUUAUAUGAAUAAUGACAACUCUAAAAGUUAUGCAUCUUUAAGUUAGGUCUAAAUAUAUACAUAAUUGAAACGUCAUUAAUAAUGAGGUAACUGCUUCACUGGCUUCGACAUCUUAGAAAAUUCAUCUCAAGUUAUUUUACUUGACAAAUGCAAUAAUGCUAGUCGAAAUUCAGACUUAAAUAAGGGAUGAAUCUAGACAACAGUAGAUGAUAUUGGUCUUGAGAGCUCAUGUCCCCUUUUAGCUUCUCUGUUGCUUCAAACGAGAGCUCUAUGCUUUCUUACCACACAGUCCUUGAAAAAAUCUACUUUCAAAAUGCAUCUGAAAAUUGUGUAUUGAUAUGUAAAUUAUUAACUAUGUGCUACCUGUCUUAAGAAUAUUAUCUUUGAACAGAACGUAUAAUAUUCAGCUUGAAUUAAGUCUUUAACAGGGGGUUUGAAAGACAUGUAUUAGUAAAUUAGGCAGAGAAUCUGGUCCUCGAGGUCACUCACAGAGGAAGACCAGCCCACUAACCUGCAGGAAGAUGCGGAUUGAUUUUCCUCACAGUGGCAUUUGGUGCAAUGCUGAAAGAUUUUCUCUGGGUUUCUGACGACUUGGAGAAGGGUAGUUGAUUUCUUAGCAGUGGAGGAAACUACACUGAAUACAGCCCUUCAAGAAGGGAAACAGGUGAGGCUUGAGACCAGGGCAUUUUGCCUGUGGUCGCAAGGUAUUCGUGGAUACAAGGAGUCUAUGCACUGGGGGUGUCACCAAAUAGUCUCAAGUUGCUCAGUGGGAAGCUGUAUGAACCUGUGGCAAGGAAAGGCUCCUGGAGAAGCAGUUUGCCAGGGUUAAGGGUGUGUUCCGGAUAUUGAAAGGGAGGGGCAGGAGGGCAUUUCCUGCUCCAGUAACACACAUCUUCCUACAGUGUAUAUUUGAAAAUCUGGCCAUUCUGAUUUCUUGCAGCUUUCCUUGUUUGCAGUGGUCUGCCCGCUCCCUCCGCCCCCACCUCCCAGUACAGUGUUGCAAGAUCAGCUUCCUUGAACGUCCUCUGAAAAACCAGGUUCAAGGGAGUCAACAUUCAGAUGUUGUGCAUGGUCUCCCGCAUGGGAGACCAGGAGGAAGCACCUGGCACCUGGCUUCGGAUCAGCACAGCACGCCGGCCUCAACACGCUGGCCGUAGCGGCCACUUGGGGGGUGAAUCAACAGAAAACGGAAGACCUUUCUCUCUGUCUCUCUCUUUCUCACUGUCUAACUCUGCCUGUCAAACAAACAAAAAAAAAUUUUAAUUAAAAAAUCCAUAUUACACAGAAUUGGAAUGGGAAAUGGAGUAAAGUCAAAAGCAGCUCUCGCCAACUGCUCUAUUUCCAAAAAUUUGGAGUGAGUCAUUUUUUUUUCCCUCUCAUCCAGGCCACUCAUUUAGGAAUUGUUACUAUGUUUCUAGAAAGAGUAUCUUGCAGCAAAUGAAAAAUGCAGUUUUGUCAAAUUUACCUCUAAAAAAUUAUUUAUUUAUUUGAAAGGUAGAGUUACAGAGAUGGAGAGGGAAGGGUGGGAGAUAGAGUAAGAGUGAUCUGAUCUGUCUGUGAGAGCCAUAAGGAGCUGGAUUGGAAGUGGAGUGCCCAUAUGGGAUGCCAAGUACUGCAAGCAGCAGUCCAACCUACUGCGCCAUGGCACAGACCCCGAAUUUACCACUUAAAAUUUUCCAGCAUUCUGAUUCUCUAGGGAGAAGUCUUUUAUUAUUUUUGUAUUUGUAGUUUAUUUAUUUGAAAGGCAGCUACAAACAGAAAGAGACAUACAUCGAGAGAGAAGGAACUCUCCCUUUUAAUUUAAGUGGGUAUCUGCUAAUGUCUCUGAAGGAAAAUAUUCUGAAGCGAAGGUUCGGGGAAGGGAGGUUGGAGUGAACAUUUUUCCCAUUUGCUAAGAAAAUUUAGGGGCCCACUCAAUAAGUUCAUCCCAACACUAGUCUAUAGUUAUACAGUUGUUCCUGUUAUGAUUUACUGUCACCUUAUUAAUUAUUGACAAUUUUUUAUGUGAUAGUUUUCUGUAUCCUCUCCUAUGGUAAAUGUCUCCUAAAAUAAGCAAGCUUCUGUGCGACAAGUAGAUUAAUUAACAUUCACCUGAGUCUUUCAGGUCUAUGUGAACAUUGGUGUAAUCAGGCACAUUAAAGGGUGUGGAUUUGCAGAAGCACUGAAAUAGUAUGAUGUAUAUGCACAGUUCAUAGAUGUCAUAAGCUUUCCCUGGAGAAAAAGGAAACUUAUGAAAUUGAUUAGCAUAACUAUAUUUUAUAUGUUCACAUAGUCAACAAAAAUUGAAUAAACAUCUGCAAAGAACAAGUGUUGAACACACAAAAAAAAAGAGAUAACAGUUUGGUAUAAGAAAUACCAAGAUAAAAUAAAAUUUACUUGUGAUAUGAAUGAGUACAAUGAAGGAACAUAAAGUAUAUUAUGAGAAGGUAUAAUGGGGAACUACCUUAUUUGGGUGGAUCCAUUUAAAGCAUCUUUGAGAAAUUCACAUUUAAUAUAGGAAUUUGAAAAAUGAGUAGAAAUUAUCCAUACCAGUGAAGAGAAGAGGGUCUUAGGGAGAAUAGAAUAUGUGAGAGUCACAAGGUAAAAAGGUACUUGUAUCUCAUAAGCUAAGACUUCGCUCACCAAGAAAAUUAUGCUUCCUCUCCUUUUGGAUCCCUGCAUAUAACAUUUUGUUGCUAUUUCAGUAGGGUCCAAACAGGAAACAGAUGUCACAGUCAAACUAGGAAAAUUCAAGGAUAGUUUUCAGUUUAUAACCAUGUGAGCAGAUUGUAGGGGAACACAAGGGAUUUUGCAGCUAACCUGCAUUUAGCAACCAUAGAACUAUUUACCACCCUUAGACUCAAAAACACAUGACAAAGGGGUUUAGAAGCUGACAGUGGAACAUGUAUAGAAAGGAUAACCUUGAUUGAAGCAAAGACACAGGCAUCCCAAGUUGGCUUCACAAGAGGGAGCCCCACUUUCCUCUCAUCCUUGAUAUCCUGCUGGGACCACCCAAUGACUGCUCCAUCAGAAACUAGAACAGGGCAGCCACUUGAUACAGGCCAUAGAGUUCAACUUCUGCAGAUAGAGAACAGGGUAGGUAGUGGGAGACACAGUAGAUCUAGGGGAGCAAAUAUAAUAAAACUUCAUUUCCACAAUGGAAAAGAAGCGCCAGGAAGAUAGAAGGCCUUUGGACCAACUGUAUUAUUAUAAAGCAGAAAAGGCUAGCAGCUUUGCCUCUCACCUUCCAUUCUUUCAACAAAAUUCUUCACCUUUACUCUAUUACUUCUCUGCCCACUUGGAUGAAUUCACUUCCUAUUAGCAAGAUAGAUUUCAUAUUUGCUUCCAAUCUACACCCUGGGAAUACAGAAACCUGACAUAGAUUCAUUUUUCUGCAAGCUUCUCUGCAACCAGCUUCCUGAUCCUCUGCAUCUUUGUUCCUGGUGUAACUGUGAAUAUUCUCACCUACAGUGUAGUAUGGGAUUCUCAGGCUACGAUGUGCAUGAGAUUCAUCUGGGAGCUUAUUGAAAGACAGAAUCUUGUCUCUUACCCUCAGAGAUUCUGAAUUAGUAGGUCUGGCAUAGGAUCAUGGAAUCUGCAUUUGAAAUAAGCAUCCUAGCUGAUUCUGAUGCAUGGGAUCCAAGAAACACAUGUUAAGACACUCUGGAAAAGUUGUUAGUAAAGACAGAAAGACUGAAUUGGUACAUUUCUGAAAACAUUGAUCUAUAAAUCAUAUUUUUAAAAGCACAUUUAAUGUAAAGACAGAAAGAAUUGUGCAGUGAUUUGCUUAUUUCACAAUAUAAAAAUGAAUAGAAUCAUUGCAAUGAAUCCUGAUAAAUGAUAUAAUUUGUUAAGGUUUUACCUUUCCUCUAAUAUUCUAUGAAUAAUGGUUCAUGGUUCUUUGGCUUUGCAUUUCUCUAGGAACUGAUCCCCAGUCACCUAAUGAUUUUUUUUUUGACAGGCAGAGUGGACAGUGAGAGAGAGAGAGAGAGAGAAAGGUCUUCCUUUGCCGUUGGUUCACCCUCCAAUGGCCACUGCGGCUGGCACGCUACGGCUGGCGCAUCGCGCUGAUCCGAAGCCAGGAGGCAGAUCUCCAGUUCUUGUUUGAUUGAUUGAUUGAUUGAUUGAUUGACUUGCAAGACUGACAGAAGGGGGAGAGAUGGAGAGAACAUCCAUCCAUUGGUUCACUCCCCAGAUGACAGCAACCCAAGACUUGAGCCAUCAUCUGCUUCCUCCCAGGUGUAUUAGCAAGAAACUAGAUGAGAAGCAGAUACAGCACCUAACCCCAGGGAAUCGGGCAUGAGAUGCAGAGUGGACAGUGAGAGAGAGAGAAAGGUCUUCCUUUGCCGUUGGUUCACCCUCCAAGUACUUAUCCUGGUCUCCCAUGGGGUGCAGGGCCCAAGUACUUGGACCAUCCCCCACUGCACUCCCUGGUCACAGCAGAGAGCUGGCCUGGAAGAGGGGCAACCGGGACAGAAUCUGGCGCCCUGACCGGGACUAGAACAUGGUGUGCCGGCACCGCAAGGCGGAGGAUUAGCCUAGUGAGCCGCGGCGCCGGCCCCUGAGCCUCACUUUCUUCACCUGUUAAAUGAGAUUGUCCACUUCACAGUAUUCCUAUGAAAAUGCAAAAAGAUGAUAUAACCACUCAGCACUGUACCUGGCACAUGGAAUGAGCCUCUUUCCCUUUAAUCAAAAUAAAAGUAACAGCUGCAUCUUCCAUUUACUGAAUAUCAUUCUGGUUUUCAAGACCCCAUUAUUCACUGACAGUUGUAUUUAUCAACCUUAGCAGCAUAUUGGAAUUGAGAGUUGUAAACUUAUGAUGAGAGAGAGCCGCAAUCCAGAUGGAUCAAAUCAACAUUUCUGGAGGGGUGGGGAGUAGGGCCCAAGCUUCAGUAUUUUUUUUUUUUUUUUUUGGACAGGCAGAGUUAGACAGUGAAAGAGAGAGACAGAGAGAAAGAUCUUCCUUCCAUUGGUUCACUCCCCAAAUGGCCACUAGGGCCGGAGCUACGCCGAUCUGAAGCCAGGAGCCAGGUGCUUCCUCCUGGUCUCCCAUGGGGUGCAGGGCCCAAGCACUUGGACCAUCCUCCACUGCACUCCCUGGCCACAGCAGAGAGCUAGACUGAAUGAGGGGCAACCGGGACUAGAACCUGGCGCCCAUAUGUGAUGCCGGCACUGCAGGCAGAGGAUUAACCAAGUGAGCCACAGCAACAGCCCCAGCUGCAGUAUUUUUAAAGCUUCAACAUGGAGAGAAGUUUGAAAACGACUAAUUUUUGCCUUGCUACUUUUAAAAAUCUUCAAUACCAGUCCUCCUGUGGUUGUCAUACAAGUGUUCAAGGUCAGCACACUCAGCUGUUCUGCCCUCUGUCUCCAGUAGCCUCCUCUUUCCCUCUUCCUGACAUUUCCCUGCCAGCCCUUCUUAUCUCGUCCACUCUACCUCAUCACCACAUGAAAAAAACUGGGGUGGGUCUGCCUAGAGGAGCCUGUGAAGGCAGUUGUCUGAGCCAGGAAACAAGAGGUGAGACUACGGACAUAGCACCUAUUUGGGGAGACAAGGAAAGAAAUCAAAACCGUUGAAACACACCCUCCAGCCUGAGCACACAAGCUACCCACAGGCACUAGUAAUGACAUCACUAUCAGGGCUAAGAAAUACCAAGAGGAGAGAGGCCAACUGGAGGUGCAGCUCCCACUGAUCUCAAGGGUCCUGGGCUGGUGAAGACUGGAAUCACAGCAAACAGCAGAGUCCACAGAUGUCAUGGAGUGGCCAGUGAUUUAUACUCGAAUGAUAUUUGUCACUUAAUGUUUAUAUUUUUCUAACUUUGUAUUUGAUACAUAUUUUGAUAACAUUAUUUUACUAGCAAUGAAGUAGAUUACUAAUUAUGUUCAAUAAAUGUGCUCAGUUGUGUUAUGCAAUGCCAAGAUUAUAAUCUCUCUCCAAAGAAAGCAAUUCUGUCCUUUUUUCCAGCAUUGUAACCUGCGCUUCUAUCCCCUCCUGGUCCAUACACUGUUUUCAGCAGAACUUUUUUCUGCCUAUUCGCCCCGCAGAUGAAGCACCAUGACCCAAAACUCUCUGUGUCAGCACUUACUGUCUAACCAAACCCCACCCAGGUAAACCUCCCCUCCUUCAGUCGCCAAUCUGCGAUACACGUUCCUCAGUGUGAAGCGGCUUCUCUCUUCCAGAGGAUACGGAGAGGUAAGGCAAAGAUUCAGAAAAUAAAGUACAUUUGAUUGACACCAGAUCAAUAAAUCUUGAAUUCACCUACUCUGAAGGUGAAAUGAAGAGAUGGACUCUGUGCUAAAUGUAAAAUCAGCGGUGGCAGAGCACUGCCUGAAAUGAAAGUCAAUAUUAUCUCAGAGUCCUGACAGCCUUAUAACACUUGUCAUGAUUUUUAAUAUCAGAUAAAAUCAGGGCACCUUUCAUGUGCCUAAAGGAAGACACUUUUUUUUACUUCCUCGGGAUUAUUUCUUCUGAGACAAAUGAAUUGACUGCAGAGAACAAUGUCUCAUUUAUUUUUUUCCUUCUGUACCACCUCCAUCCUAUCUUUUAUGGUUUAUUACUUUCCCAACCUCCCAACUUUUUUUUUCACAUUCCUAAAAAGAAUCAACAAACUUUAUUUUAAAUAACCCAUAGAUUUAAAAAUUUAUAAAUGAAUAUGUCUCUAGACACAGUGAACUAAGUAGCAAAUUUGAAAUGAGUAUGCAAUUUACUUUGUUUACUUGGAAGCUGAGAAUGAUUGUGCAAAGAAAGCAUUUGGUUGAAUAGGAAUUCUCUGCCUGCAGCCCAGAGCCAGGAUUGCUAUAAACAUGUAAAUAACUUAACAAAUGAAGAUAAAUUUGCCCAGUUGUAACCUCUACGGGACUCCUAUAAUUCUAUGGUCCUAAAGUAUUUUCUUGAGGAUUAAAAAUUACAUUAAAAGCUAUAGAUAAAUCACCAUCUAAAAAAAAAAAAAAAAACCUGCUUGAUUUCUUUUCUCUAUACUCUCCAGAAAUACUGGAUUCUGAACACAAUUGUAAGAAUCUUAGCAACUAUAUUCCUAAAUGUGCUACAUUAUUAAGAGAUGUCACCUAGAAAAAAGUUAAAACAUUCAUGGUCUUGCUAUUUUUGAGUUGUUGUCAAGCCUCGUAUAUGCUCACUGAUGCUCGAUUUGCCAAGAUAAGCAAAACCUCCACAAGGCCUUAAAAUCAACCAUUUGAAGCAACUGCAAAAAUAUAGAAAACUCAUGAAUAAAACUUUCCUGAAAGCAAGAAAAAGACUGAAAUCUGCUCCACCCCUACUAAGCCAAGGAUAAGGUUUCUCUAGAAAAGGGGGGAAAAAAUAAACUUCCUCACUUUGCUCUUGGUGGGUAGGACUGCAGCUCUCUUAAGGUUUUUGGUUGUGCCUAAUAAUUACUUUUUUAAAUUUUAUUAUUUUAACAUAUAAAACUUGUACAUAUUUAUGGGACACUGUGUGAUGUUUUUGUACAUGUACACAUUGUAUAAUAUCCAAUCAGGGUAAAUAUAUUCAUCUCAUCAAACAAACAUUUCUUUAUAGAGAAAAUAUCCAAAAUCCUAUCUUGUUUUUCUCUGUACAGAAAUAUACAAUAUAUUAACAUUAUCUAUAGUCACUCUGUGUGAUAGAACUCUAGAAACUUCUUACUCCUAUCUAGCUAUAGCCUAGUAUCCAUCAAAUUAAUAAUAAAAGAAAAGCAAACAAAUGUGCAAUACAAAUUUUGUGUGACUCAAGAAUCCUUAUAAGGAAAAGAAGAUCGAAAGGUCAAAUCCUACCUGCCUUUAUGAGAAUAAAUUUUAAAAAAAGAGCCUAUUGUGAAGAAGUAACUGAAUUGUGUGGGAGACUAAAGAACUAUUUUAACAAGUUCUAUUUGUACAGAAUUCUCUCAUCUAAGAAAGAAUGUUUACUUUUCCUUGGCACUGGAAGGGCAACUGUUACAUGAGAGUUUUGUCUCCUGUUUUCAGGGGAAAAAAAGAUUAGAAUGCCCUUCUUUUAUCUAUGAUUUUCAAGUGCAUUUAGCUCAAAGAAACCUUUAUGCCAAAGUGGCAUAUUUGGGGUGGCAUAUUCUGCCAUGCUUCAUCCUUGUUCCCUUAACCAAAGAGCACUGAGAAGCAUAUAAAAUGCACUGAAAUUUCCAAUAUACAUACUUCCACCCACCUCAGUUACUCUGGGAGAGCCUGAGGGAACAUACCCGCUGAUUAGUCACAGCUGUGGACUCCUGGCCUUACGCCAACAUAUAAUGCACUGCCUCACAGGGACAGGAAGGAAUUGUGGAGGCCCUGGAAGUGGACUUGUAGGUUUGCUAGGCUCCCCAGCUUACCAUAAUAAAACCAGCUUCUCAGAGACUCACAACUCACAGGCCUAUACCCCAACUGGGGGUUUGGGAAAUUCACAUCCCCCAAAUAGCAAUAGAUGCUGAUGAAAAUCAAAGUUAAUGGACAAUAAAGAUACUGCCUCAUCCAUGGGCAAACAUUGCUAAUUUCAUGGAUACACAAAGGGAGACUUUAAGUAGUAAAGAUUCCAGUGUUUCAGACAAUCAGCAGUGGAAAAAAUCAGACUCAUUUCCGACCAUCUUAUUAGAGGAAGAGAAAAAAAGCUUAAGUCUGCAUAUCGCUCAUUUGAAUAUCAAAGGGGAAGGGAAAUUGCCAUUUUAAGUUUUCUCCCAGCAAAUUUUAUUAGAACAUUUGUACCUGGUUUAGGAACGUGGCCAUUUCAAAUUCUGAUGGCACCAUAAUGUCACACUGGAAAGGAAGGUGAAGCAACCCAUAUGGAUGAGUAAGCUCAGCACAUCCUAAAAAAACAUAAUAGGGAACUGGCUUAGUUGGCGAUAGCCACUUAAAGCUCUGAUCAACGCAUAAAGUGAGACUUUUAAAAUGACCAGGAAUUUGCUUUACCAAUAGUUGAAUGGAAGAAUAGGGUCUUGAGUGGAGAGAAUAGAAGAUACUAGGGCUCCAAGCCAACAAAGAACCUGCCAUGUGUGAUCAGUAUAUUUCACCUUUUAAAGCAGUGCACACACUGCUAUAGAGUACGAAGUGAUGCUUAAAAAUGUUCAAGCUGCAUAUGAAGAAGUUAAUCAAUAAAUAUUAAGAUUUCAACUUAACAUGCCCUAUGGCAUAUUGAAUACUGAAACUGGACUUACCCCAAAGUUUCUUGGAGCUAAUGAUCAUUUUCUUACUGUAUGUAUCAUAGCUUUACAGCCCCACCCUGCAGAAACAGCAUGUGAUAAAUACCAGAAAAAAAUUAUUUUCUAAAUGGGAACGUUAGGUGGUUCAUUAUGCUGUGGAUUAGAAACUGAAUUGUGUUAACCUUCACAGGGCAAAAUUUCAUUGCACAUAGUAUAUAGACAAUUUUUAAAAUCAAUCUCCUGGCUCAUUGUAUUUUAGGCCAUCAAAACAAGAAAUGUUGAAGAACAAAUAACAGAUUUUCUUUCCUUUUAACUUUAAAAAUUUAUUUGAGAGACUGAUUAACAGAUAGGAGAGAACUCCCACCCACUGUCUCAAUGGCCAGGACAGGGCCAGCAUCAGAGUUUGGGGUAAACAACUCAAUUCAGGUCUCCCAUGUGGGUGGUAGGCACCCAGUUACUUAAGGCAACACCACUGUUUCCCAGGAUGUCUAUUACCAAGAAACUGAGAUCAGGAUCAAGAGCUGAGUACUGAACCCAAGAACUCCAAUAUGGGGUGUGGGUGCCCUAACAGAAAAACAUCACUGUUUUUUAUAUCUCGUCUAAAUAAUCCUACUGGCAUUACCCAAAAAAGUGUAUAUACAGUCAUUCAAGGAUCCUAAACUGGCCAGCGCAGUGGCUCACUAGAUUAAUCCUCUGCCUGUGGCGCUGGCACCCGGGCUUCUAGUCCCGAUUGGGGCAUUGGAUUCUGUCUCGAUUGCUCCUCUUCCAGUCCAGCUCUCUGCUGUGGCCCGGGAAGGCAGUGGAGGAUGGCCCAAGUGCUUGGGCCCUGCACCUGCAUGGGAGACCAGGAGGAAGCACCAAGCUCCUGGCUUCGGAUCGGUACAGCGCCAGCCGUGGUGGCCAUUAGGGGAGUGAACCAACGGAAGGGAGACCUUUCUCUCUCUCUCUCUCUCUCUCUCUCUCUCUCUCACUGUCUAACUCUACCUGUCAAAAAAAAAAAAAAAAAGAAUCCUAAACAAAAGGAGAGUGGAAAGUAAGAUUCUAUCACUGUUUAUCCAGCAGUGACUAAGAAAGAAACAGAAGCUGCCACACUUCAAUGCCUGUCACUUGGGAUGUUAACUAUACAAGAAUGGUUUUCAUCAGCUUUUGUUAUUUUUCAUGGAAUAGAUGAAAUAGCUCUUAAAUCACUUUGGUGAUGCAACCAACUUCUAAUUAUUGACAUAGCCCCCCAAAUACCCUGAUAUAUACAGAAAUUUCCCCGGAGAGGAACUAUAAAAUAUUUUAUGAAAAGGAAUGCUCACUGCCUUUUGUAAAUCCUUUUGUUGGGGCAGUUACAUGUGAUUGUUCUCUGACAUAGUUUAGCAAAUAUCACUCUCCCUACAUGUGACCAUACAUUGUGCUCUGGCAAAACUAAAUUUCUGGAAGAGUAAAACUCAGAAGGGAAUUCACUACUGUGUUUCAAUACUCUGAGGCUCUGCCAACAGGCUGAUUUGCCCCUAACUUCUGUACUGUCAUCUUUUAACACCAAUAACUCCUGAUUGAGGAGAAGCCACCAAACAUAUAUGAAUCUUUAUUUGUUGUGAUGUGCUUGGACACACAGAAACUGGUUCCAUAUCUUGUAAUCCAGUGUCUCCUUUAUCGUUUUACCUCCAUGUGCCAUGACACAUGUAUUUCUACUCUGACAAACUUUUAUAACUCUCAUGGUUUUCAUUUUGGUUUUAUUAAAUUUUCAUCUAAAAUAUGCUUGUGAGAGGGAGAGAGAGAAAGGGAGAGAAAAGAAGGAGGAGGAGGAGGCAGCAUGGAGCUGUGGUCCUUAAGGUUAUUGAUUAGUCUGACAAUGAAGAAAGCUAUUGUAUGUCUAAUUUUUUGCCUUUCCCACCUUCAGGUUCCCAUAGAAAUCACUGAUAAAUGUAAACCACCAUCUAGAAAAUUGUUGGAAAAUUCCCGAAGGCUAUUGAAUUGUACAAGUGAGAACUCAUUUUAAGAGUUAGCACUCCCAAAAGAAUGAACAGUGUCUCUGUGAGGAAACACUCUCUCCCAUGAUUCCUCUUUCUUCUAUGCUUAGGGUGGUAUGGCAGAAGUUGACUAUAAAAUUUCAAAUGACUUUCUGAAUAAAUACCAAUGAAAAAAGAAGGCUAUUACCUUCCUUAUUCCCCUGCUUGAAACCAUCUCAUACAGAUUCACCAUCUCACUUUUCUCUGGAGUAAUUUCUUUCUCAAAUCAAUAUGGUUUGAAUACUCAAAUAAGUAAACCAGACAUGUGGGAACAAGUGGUCCCAAUAGAUAGUACUUUCUGUCUGGGAGAGGGGAUGUACUAAUUGCUAUUCAGACAUCUUGCUGAUAAGUUAAUUCAUAUAAAGCUCUAGCACCAUAAAAACAUUUACAUGAUGGAUAGCCCAAGUUCAGUAAUAAAAUUGCAAAAAUACCUGAGGAACAUAAAAUGUGUUUUCAAGUUUUCCAUACUUCCACACAACAGUUACUUAAUUCUCAGGAAAUGUCUACAGUAAAUGCAAAAGAAAGGAAAAGAUUGUAAUUUCUGUUGUGUCAUCAAUUUUACUGUACCACCAUCCUGAUCUCAUAGGUUUUCAAUGUUGAGGACUCUCUUGAAGACAUACUUGUGAAUUCCUGCACCUUCAUUCUUUUCACCCAUUGAAGUCACUCCACAGAAUCUAUUAGGUGAAUCAUACACUUUUUACCAGGGUAUUAUAUAUAUGGAUAUUUGUCACAUACACACACACAACACAACACACAACACACAUGUACCCCUCAGUGCCCCCAAACACACAUUGCUGUUUAGUGUCACAUACCCUUAGCUACCCAUGGAUUUAACUCCUAUUAUAACGACUCAUGUAAAUCAGUCCAGUGACCAAUUUCAUGAGGCAUAAAAUUCUGAUUUAACGAUUUUGUCAAGAAUAUAACAUCAAAUUUACUUACGAAAAGCAAAAUUGAGAUUGAGGUAUUGAACAGAGUUGAAAUUAAGAAGGCUCUUACAGAGACAUAGAUGAUUGUAUCUUGUGGAAAGGAUAUUAGGGAAAAGGGAGUAAACACCCAUGCUAGAAGAAUGAAAUGGGCAAGUAGUUGGCCUAGUGGUUAUGAUGUCUGUUUAGGAUGCCCUUGUCUCAUAUCUGAGUAACAGGGUUUGAUUCCCAGCUCAAGUUUCUGACUCCUGCUUACUGCUAAAGCAGACUCUGGAAGGCAGUGGUGGUGGCUCAAGUACUUAGGUUCCUACCACCCAUUUGGGAGGUCUAAAUUGAGUUCCAGCUUCAAUUCAUGGCCAUUUGGGGGACAACCCAGUGCAUAGGAUUUCUCCCUUUCCUUUCUCCCCACCUACCCCUGCCUCUAAAGCUAGUGAAGUGACAAAUUUCAGUUGCCAUUAAUUUCCCAUCUAUGACACGUCUCACAAUGUUUCAACUUAGACCAGGACUGGGUCACAGGAGAGGAGAAGCCAUGUUUUAGACUGAUGUAGAUAGGAAUGUCCAUUUGUAAGACUGAAUAUCAAUUUCUGGGACAAAAUUCAACCAUCCUAGUCCCCAGUCCCCUUUAUGAUUGUUAGAUCAUCAGAUCUGAUUUAGUAGUCCUUUAUUCAGCAUACGCUGAAAACCAAGAUAAAAUAUUAAAGUUCAUCAGAAUACCCCUUAAAAAUGUAGAGAGAUUUCAAAUAUGCAGGUUCCAGGAGAAUGUACUGAAGUAUGUACCAGGAAAAUAUGUCUCUGAUCCCAUGUAAGUAUUUCUAUUUUGAAAAUAUUCCUUGUCUAAAACCCAGAAAAUGUGUUAGUUUACAUCCAUAACUCGUCUAGUAAAGGGUAGAAAAUAGCUUUAAUCUGCUAGAAAAUGUCAUUUAAUAUGACUUGUCAGAUGUUGGAUACUAGGCAUACACAAGUACACAUGACUGAAUGAGGUAAGUGCUAUUGACAAAAGUAGAAAAUUCUAUAUGAGUAGUAAAGUAAAGCAACUUUUAUUUGUUAGAAGUUGGGCAGGUCAAAGAAACUAGAAAUGGAAGAGCAAAACAUGAGUAAAGAAUGGCACACAAACUGAACAGCCCAGAACAUGGUUGGAAGUCUUGAUCACUGGAGUUAGCAGGAUCCCAUGGUAUGACUGGGAAAUAAUACAAGAGGAGACUUGAGAGGGAGGAUAGGACUGUAUUAUCUGUGAAGUCCCUAAUCCCUAAAUUGAAAAUCCUAUUCUUAACUCAGUGGGCAAUGAAGAGUCUUUGAUGAUUUUAACACAAAAACCUGUGAUUUUGAGCCAUACAGAUAGUCCUAAUGAUAGCUUCUGUGUUCUCUAUUUGCGAUAACUAUAUACAUGUAGAAUGCAUUGUCACUUAUAAACACCAUGACAAAACACUGAAUCUUUAAAGAAGCUCAUAAUCUGACCUGGGAUCUAAGUACAUCACCUGUACAUGACCACAGCCCAUUUGUUCUUCCUUUUCCUGCCUACACUGAGAAAAGCAUGCUUGGAAAAUAUCCUGGUUAGAGCUGAGCUGAUUCUCUAGUCCUUGAGAGCAUGUUUAACUUAAACAGUAUGUAGUGGUAAGGCCAGAUAAACAUAAAAGCAAGAUGGUAAUUAGUAUUAAUUAAUGUCAAUUGCUGUUUUCCCUGAAAACAGCUGAUGCUGAGGAAGAACUGGGACUGCAUAGGCAGAAUAUAUGCCAACAGUGUUCUUGAAUUUCACCAAUUUUACAUUUCAAAAAAGAAAACUCUUUUUAUUUUUUUAGUACAAGGUGAUUGAUCAGAGGAAAACAGCUUUGCUUAAUGAGAUAAUACUAAACUGGAUUGUUAGCUUUUGUGCGGCAGACUGGAUAUGAAAAGGAUUGUUUUCACUUGGCUCUGUUUUCUGACAUGAAAUGAGCCUUGAAGAUUAACCAGCCAUGUGGUGUGUGCACCCCCAAUAUCAUAUGUUGUCUUCUACUUACUGUCAACAGUCCUUUUUUCUUUUUAAAUUGACACAUCGUUUCUCACAUUCAUAUUGGAAUUUCAUAAUACAGAGCCAGGAAUAUGCAGAAUUGAUUAUGAAACAAAGUCCACUAUGUCUGCAAAAUUUCCCAUCAGUUUAAUACCUGUCUACGCAAUGCUCUUAUAUCUAAUGUAUUGGACAGUUUUAUACCCCAAAUCAUAUAUCUAUCUCCCUGGGGCAAGGCCCCAAAACAGGAAAUUCAGGAAUUUGCCACAAGCCAAUAGAAAAUUUUCAGUUGCUUUUUCAGUUUUGCACUUUUCUAAUUUAAAAUGAAGUUAUGUACACAUCAUUAAUUGUGUCCUUGGAGUUAAAGAAAAACUGCAUAGACAUUUAUAGAAUUGUUAGAAUUUUAAGAUUACUGCUAUUGCUAUUUUUAAAAAAUCUUAGAAUGUUUUUAAUGAUUUAUUCAUUUUUUGAAAAUCGGAGUUACACAGAGAGGGAGAGAGGGAGGGAGAAAGAAAGAGUGAGGUCUUCCAUCUGCUUGGUCACUCCCCAAUUGGCCGCAAUGGCCAGAGCUGUGUCUGUCCGAAGCCAGAGUUGUAACCUUCAGAUUUUAUGUGCUUCUUUAAAAAUAGUCUGACAAAAUGUACAAUCUGCUCUCAAUUAUCAGUUUACAUGGAUUUGGUAGGCUAGACUGUGCUCAACUUGCAAAUCAUCUAAAGAUAAUUUUAAACUGUGUUAUUCAGAAUUCUGGAUGUAGUUCCUGCCACUUCCCAAGCUCAGUUCAAACACAGUUGAAAUUUGUUGGUUUGAAAGAAGGGCUCUGUAAAAUUAGGCCCUGUAGUCAUUACCAGGGCCCUGGAAGUUUGAGAGGUGUGGAUGUUCUACUGAAAGGGUUGGUACUUCUGGGAUCCAAGUUCUUGCCUCAGUGUGAGAAGAGAUUCAAGGACACAGCAUAGAUAUACAUCAGCAGAAAAACAAGAUUUAUUUAAAGCGAAAGCACAUAUUCAGGAGUGAAUACAAACAAGCUCAGGAGAGACAGCCAAAAUUAACGGAGUUAGGGCCAUCCUUUUAUGUGAUCUCAGGGCAGAGAAUGGUGUUUGUGUGAAGUUUGAUUGAAUAUUCACAGAGGGUGGAGUCUGGGGCAGGGCUUGAGCACUACCCAUUUCCUUGCCCUUUUUUUGGAAUCUCAGAAAUGUUUUGGCAUCCUGUGCAUCAUAGGAGUUGGGGUGUCAGCUGUGGUAAUUUUAUUAUAAUGACCUUGUAAUGAACUAUGGCAGCUGUAUUAGAUAAUCUUAGCCAGAGCUAGUUUUUAAGCAGUGAAACCCCAGCAGCUGUAGUCUGCACAGAAGGAGGUGGGGUUUCGGCAGUGCACACGGGGCUGCCUGUGUUGAUCGCGCAACCUCAUCGGUGCCAGCAAUCCUUAGCUCCUCUUUGCCGGCUACCUCACUGCCAACAUCAUCUGAAAGGGUAUUGGCAAAUCGCGUAAGUUCAUAUUUGUGGAAUUUCAGGGCAAUGGAUCCAGCGCAGCAAUGACAGCAGGGGUGUGGCGCUGGCAUUAGGGUUGCAGGGAAACAGGCAUCUGAGGCACAAUGCGGGCUGCGUGUUCAACAGCUGGAAUUUCAUUGGAGCACACACUGUGUUAGCCGACAGAAUGUGGAAAUUACUUGCUUUGUUUACUAACCUAUCAGAACACUGUGUUUUUUACAAACAUAAUGUUUAUGGUAGCUGAAACAAUGUACAUCUUAAAAUCUAAGCCAAUCAGUUUUAACUCUGAGUCAUAACUAAAUCAUAAUUUGUACUUUUUCAUAGCAGAAUAUUGCUUGAUAUUUAGAUCAUAAUUUUUAAAAGCACUUCAAUCUCAACAAACAUUACUGAGUGUCUACUGCAUUCCUGCCUUGUUAGCAACUUUUGAAGAUUCAAAGAUGAAUAAAAUCUGAUAUUUUCAAUAAAAGGCCUUAUUAAAUAUUAGUGUGAGAUACUGGAAUAUAAGCAAAUAAUAUUUCAGUCUAAAACAUAAUAAAUUGCACAGAUUAGUAGUUAUAAUAAUUUAUUGAUCCCUUACUAUAUGUAAAGAACUCUUGACGUCGGCAGGAAAGUAGCUAGCAAAGAGGAACGGAGGAUCACCAGCACUGUGCUGCAGCCUGUCCACCAUCGAAACCCAACCUCACCCUCUUUGGCAGAGGCCACAGCUGCCAGGGCUUAAGAACCUGUGCCACCUAAAUCUACUACAGCUGCUGGCUGCAUCCCAUAAGGAUCUUUAGUUUAUUAUAUUAUCAUUACGAUAGAAUUACCAUAGCCAAACUCCACUCUUAUUAUGCACCUGAUGUCCUAAUGCUGCAGAGAUUUCCAAUAAAGCGUGAAGGAAUGAGCAGCACUAAAGCCCUGUCCUGCCCUCUUUGAAUAUUCAAUUACAGCCUCUCCCCAGACCCCAUGCCCUGUGUCUCCCAGAUCCUGUAAAAGGGCGUUCCUAAAGCCUAUUAAGCUCAGCUCUUUCUCUUCAGAGCUUGAGGGUAGUUCCUUUCGAGGGUGGGAUUUUUCACUUAAAGUAAUUCUUGUUUCUCUACUGACUUCUCUAUGUCUCUUUCCUGAAUUCCUUCAGUGACCAGGCAAGAACCUAGACCCAGACAGUCUGGAACCUUCCCCAGCACUCUUUAGGUUACUAGUUAUUGUAUAUACUUCUGAUAAAUACCUAAUGAGCAAAGCAAAAUAUGAGGUCUCAGUUAAGGUACAGGAAAACAAAAUAGCCUACCCAGGGUAACAUCUACUAGAAGAUGGGGUUAGGACUUGAUGCUGGAACUGACUCGAGCAUAUGCUUUCUCUCACCAAAAUGUAAUGUUUCAACACAGAGGGACAAUGGGGUACUCUAACUUCCAAAAGGAGGUAAUGCCAGAGGAGGGUUUUGAAAAGGAGAACAGAUAUUAACAAGACUAACGCUAGUGUGCAACCAAAACACUGACAGUUUCAGUAAAAGAGCUGCCUGUGGAAAAAAUCACAGGAACAGAAUGGAAUCUAGAAAGUGAAAGUAGCCCUCUGGCCGGCGCCCCGGCUCACUAGGCUAAUCCUCCGCCCUGCGGCGCCAGCACACCGGGUUCUAGUCCCGGUAGGGGCGCCGGAUUCUGUCCCGGUUGCCCCUCUUCCAGGCCAGCUCUGCUGUGGCCCGGGAGUGCAGUGGAGGAUGGCCCAAGUGCUUGGGCCCUGCACCCCAUGGGAGACCAGGAGAAGCACCUGGCUCCUGCCAUGGGAUCAGCACGGUGUGCCGGCUGCAGCGCACUGGUCGCAGCAGCCAUUGGAGGGUGAACCAACGGCAAAGGAAGACCUUUCUCUCUGUCUCUCUCUCUCUCACUGUCCACUCUGCCUGUAAAAAAAAAAAAAAAAAAAAAAAAAAAAAAAAAAAAAAAACCUCCAAUUUCAAAUCUAAAAGUAUGAGGGAAGAAAUAGAGGUGGAACUAAAGUGAGGAGCAAUUAAAGGAACCUGCUUGAGCCCUAUACAACCUUGAGGAGCUUAGCUUUAAGAUCAAAGACUAGAGGGAGAUGGCAACGUUGGUGUGAAGAAUGAACUACUUGCUUUUGUGCUUAAUGAAUUUUAGGACCGCUGUACUAUGGGAUGUAAAUGGGAGAUGAGGAUGAUGGGAGACGAGGAGAUGGUGAUGAGCCUGUUGCACUUGCUAGCUAAGGGAAGGAUGGGCUUUGUUGAACAUGGCGGUUGUCAUACAGGGAAUACAGCAGGUACAAGAGAAAGCUCAGAGGGAGAACAGACUUGGGUGGUGAGGGAGGAGUGAAAGAGUGGGAGCAACUAGGUUGACACCGGGGAGUCCACCUGGGUGUUUUUGAAGUUAAGUAAAUGCAGAUGAAAUCCCUUUCAUUGAGGACAAAAUUUGUAGGUCUUAGAUUUUAUUUUCUAUUUACAAAAAUUAAUGUUAGAUUCUCGGUCAUGGCAAAUGCAACACAAUCCUCAGUUGAAAAAUACUAAACUGUCUUGAAUUUUUUGAAAGUACAAAUGAAACUUUGCUGACAUAGUUAUCUAAUAGCUAGGAAACUGUUACAAAACUCCAAGGGAAAAACAUAUCCUCAUUGUGCCAAAAUAACUCCUCUUACAUCGUGUUAGUCAUCAUUAUAUAAUGAGGUUUUUUUCUAAGGGAUUAUAUUAAAUAACACUGAUUCCUAGUUUCUUUAUCCACAAAGUAGACAAUUUCCACAAUAGCACUGCCAUCUUCUGCAGUUCAGCAACUAUAAUUGCUAGUGCUAGAGUGGCUAUCUUCUGUCUGUGGGAGCAUGUUCUCUUCAGGUCAAUGUCUGUUUCAAACACUGACAUAGUCCUAGUUGCAUCAGCUUUCAGGAAGCCCUUCUGUUGAAGAUUGUAGAGUACACAAUUGGUGGGUGUUUGGCCUAGUGGCUAACAUACUGGUUAGGGUGUAUACCUUCCAUAUCAAAGAACCUAGGUUUGUCCCCUGACUCUAACCUCUGAUUCUAACUUCCUGCUAAUGCAGACCCUGGGAGGUAGUGGUAACAGCCCAAAUUGCUGAGUUCCUGUAACCCAUAUGGGAAACCUGGGUUGAGUUCCCAGCUUUGGCCUUAGCCAGCAGAAAGGAUUUCUCUCCCCUUCUCUCUCUCCCUUUCUCUUUCAAGUUAACUUUAAAAAGAAAUGCAAAUCAGUACUCCCUGAAACCUGGGAAUUAUCUGGGGGAUUCAGUUAAAAAAAAUCUUGAUUAUAAGCAAUAUAUUUUGCUUCUGAAAAAUUCUCAGAGGAAUGUAUUACAAGUCUUAGACUGAAUCAUAUGAAAAUCCAUCCUUACCAUAUCCAGAGACAUGAGAAGGAUUUUUUUUUUAAAGGAGAUACUUGAUAGGCAGAAAAUUAAGAUGAACUUAAAAUGAUUCAGGUGACAAAUGUGGUCAAAAUACAGAGAGGAAGGAGAAGAGGGGAACAAACUGAAAAACACCAAAACAGCAUUCUGGUUCACACUGUAUUUAAAAGAUGAGUUACACUCCCCCCCCCCUUUUUUUUUUCAAUUUGCUUGUUUUUUUAUUUAAGUAUAAAUUUCCAAAGUACAGUUUAUGGAUUACAAUGGCUUCCCCCCCAUAGUUUCCCUCCCACUCGCACCCCUCCCAUCUCCCUCUCCCUCUCCCAUUCCAUUCACAUCAAGAUUCAUUUUCAAUUAUCUUCAUAUACAGAAGAUCGAUUCAGUAUAUAUUAAGUAAAGAUUUCAUCAGUUUGCACCCACACAGAAACACAAAGUGUAAAAUACUGUUUCAGUACUAGUUUUAGCAUUACUUCACAUUGGACAACACAUUAAGGACAGAUCCCACAUGAGAAGUAAGUACACAGUGACCCUUCUUAAACUUUAACCUGUGAGCUCUCGUAAAUUGGUCAAAACAUGAACACUCAAAAAAAAGCCUUUCCUACCAACUCAAAAGUUACUAACAGCCUCCAAAGUUGUCAGACUUGAAACUGAUUUAAGAAGUCAAACAGUUAAGGCAAUUCAAAUGUUACUAAGUAUAAUGACUAGCACAAGAUAGGUGAUUACAGGGACAAAAUCGACAAGGAGGAAAUGUUUCAGAAGUAAACUAGAGAUGUGGAGUUUGGGGGAGUAGUAUAUGCGCAUAUACAUCAAAUUUCUUUAUCCAAGUGUGUUUUCAAACUUUUUUCUUUUCUUGCAAGACUACUAUACUGACCAUGAACUUUUUGAACUCAGUCGCCCUCAACUGGAUUUGGUUAUUAACAAAAGGGAAAACCUGCAUAUAACUUGACAAUUGAAGCCCUUCUUCUGCUUUUAUUAAAGGAAAAAGCAGUAUUUAAUCUACUUGAUGAUUUGAGUUGUCAGUACCACUAAAGGGCAAUGUAAAUUAAAGCAAGAUUAUAGACUUCUGUGAGACUACAAAAAUAGCUUGUUAUAGGCAAGAAAACAACAGAAUUGAGGUUUUAACACGUCCUAUGAGAAACUAAUUUUUGGACUGUUAAGUGAGUAUAUUCAUGAUAUUUACGUAAGGCAUAUAAUUUUGAGCAAACAAUAAGCACACAGGAGGAAAGAAUGCUUUCAAGAUAAUUUGCUGGAUUAAAAGCUUUACAUAUCUUAAAAUAUUUUUCUAUAAUUUAUUCAAGCAAAAUUUCAUUUACAUAGAGAAUAUGCCAUUUAGUGAUAAAAAUAAGCCCAACUCCCACUGAAUCAUUUCAGAAGAGGAAAUCUUAGACAAAUUCAACCUCUCAAUUUAAUAUUAGGAGUUUACAAAUUCUUAAUUGAGCCAAAAUGUCAAUUAUGGGAAAGGUGAGGAUAUAAUCCAUGAUGAUGGCAAAGGAACAGAAACUAAAGAGGCCAGUGCCGCGGCUCACUAGGCUGAUCCUCUGCCUGAGGCGCCAGCACCUGGGGUUCUAGUCCCGGUUGGGGCGCCGGAUUCUGUCCCAGUUGCUCCUCUUCCAGUCCAGCUCUCUGCUGUGGCCCGGGAAGGCAGUGGAGGAUGGUCCAAGUGCUUGGGCCCUGCACCCGCAUGGGAGACCAGGAGGAAGCUCCUGGCUUUGGAUUGGCACAGUGCGCUGACCAUAACAGCCAUUUGGGGGUGAACCAACGAAAAAAGGAAGACCUUUCUCUGCCUCUCUCAUGGUCUAACUCUGCCUGUCAGAUAAAAAAAAAAAAAAAAAAAACUAGAGGCUCAAAUAUCUCCCUUGUAGGGAGGGAUCUCCAAAAUGUUCUGUCUUUGGAUCUCAUACAUUACCCUUAGCUAUCUCUUCCUGUGCUCAAUCAGCCUCUCCUUUAUCUAAACAUUUCCUUAGCAUUAUCUGUCUGUGGGAAAGUAAUAUUACUUUUCAAUCUCCCACCCCUGCCUCGACCAUUUAUUAAAACUGAGGGAGGGAAUCCAAGCAUCCGGGAGGUGUCAUCCUGUCAUUGCCACAGUGACAGAGCAGUUAUAAAUGUUGGCAGGGAUGUGACUUGCUUUGCAAUAAAGAAUCUGUCUCCUGCAAGUCAGACAGCAAUCUACAAGUUGUACAUCCAGCCUGACUUGUCAACAGUGAAAUGCAAAGGGCCGGUUUGUGUAUAUCUCAGGAUAUUUACCCUACUCGAAUAGCUUUGGCUGCCUUCCUCUGAAGCAGAUUUAACAGAUCUAGAAAUGGUAACUUGGUUUUUAAUUUCUCUUUAAAUUGAUCAGUUGUGGCUUCCAAAAGAGCAUCCAAGAGUCCAGAGUCUUAAUCUUUUUUGAAGUUCUGGUACUAUUUCUUUUCUUCCUGAAAUAGAAUUCUGAAUUAAAGUAAUUAACAACCAUUCUACCUACUUUUUGCAUACUAAAAUUUGCAAAGCACUUUAAUGUACACUAUUUCCUGUGGUCUAUGAAGAUAAAAGUGCAAUGUACAGGGAAAGCACUGAGCAAAGCAGCAAUACAUGCAGAUUCUACAAAUAGUCAUAUAAUAGGCAGAAAUCUGGGCUCCUGGAAAAGUAACCUGUUUUAUUUUUGUAAAGGUGAGGGCAUUAAAAAAAGACAACUAAGCCCCCACAUAUUUAACAUUUUGGUAUUCAAUGUAGUACAGAUAUGACUGCCAUUGAGUUCAUUUCAUUGCUUCACGCUAACAACACAAAUUUCAGGCAGGUUUGGCGAUGUGACCCAAAGUGUAUGUCUGAUAAGUUCAACCUUAACUUGAUUCCAGACAUUUGUAUAGAGCCUCCAAGAGCCUCUCAUCCUUUCAUAGAACCUGUUAGACUCGGCAGGCAGCGUCAAUGGCCCUUACCUAGGUUUCUUAAAUUAGCAACUGAAAACAAAGAUGCCCACUUAAAUUGGAAAAUGGAAUAAAAAUUAUUCAUAAGUAUGUCCUACACAAUCCCUAGGACAUAUCUAAAAAGCACUUUUAUUUAUUGGAAACUCAGUGUUAAUUGAGUAAACUCUAUUUUAUCUGACAUCUUAGAACUCAUAGGUGCUGGUCAUAUAAAAAUUUGCCAGGGUUAACCUCCAUCAUAAUUCAUCAGCCUCCUCUUCCUGCAGUUCCACUUGCUGAAAAAGCUGUCCUUCCCUGGUUUUCUUUUCACUAGAAAGUUUAUCUCCAUGACCCUUCAGUAGUCUCCACCUGGAUCAGAUCACACUAUCCCUAGUCCUCAACUUGUGUCAAAUUGUGUAUUUAUUUGCAGAGGGAAUAAUAUAGAACAAUCUUCAUAUGCUUUUCUCUUGUGAAAGGCUCCAAGGCUUUAACUUUCACCUUAUUAAGUCUAAUCUCCCCCAAAACCAGGUAAUGUUUCACACAAAAGAUUUCCUUGCCUUCUAUUUCACUCUCCUAACACUUCUGAAUUUCCUAAAAUUGCCAUAUGAUCACAUGACAAAUAUUUGCUAAGUGACUGUACUUGGAUACAUUUUAAAAAUUUUGGAAAAUACUAAAGAUAACAUGAAAUACAUGAAAUCAUUUUUGUAUUAACAAAAAUUUUAAAAACUUGGAAAAUAUGCUUUUAAAGACUUGAAAGGCAGAGUUAGAGAGGGAGAGACAAAUCUUCAUCUGUUGGCUCACUCUCCAAAUGGAUGCAAUGGCUGGGCCUGACCAGGCCGAAGCUAGGAGUUUCUUCUGGGUCUUCCACAUGGGUCGCAGGGGCCCAAGGACUAGGGCAUUUUUCCAUUGCUUUCCCAAGUGCAUUAGCAGAGAGCUGGAUCGGAAGUGGAGCAGCCAGGACUCCACCCUGUGCUUAUAUGGGAUGCUGGCAUCACAAGGAGCAGCUAUGCCACAACAGCAUCCCCAAAAUAAGCUUAUUUUGAUGCAAUGUUUUCCUGUGCUUAUGAAAAUGCUUUUGACAUACUCUAUGUAUAAUCUGUGUAAUACAUAAUCAGUACUACUGCCACAUUAAAAUAGAAAACUGAAGGAAUGGAUAGUCCGUUCUUUGACACAGCUUAACAUCUUUCCUAUAUUUUCAUCUAUGAAGAAAACCAUCAAUCUAUUUCCAUCAGUCCUGGAGCAGAUCUUUCUUUUAUCUAAUAAAUGCAGAUUAAAAUUAAGAUAUUUAGGCCAGCGCCGCAGCUCACUAGGCUAAUCCUCCGCCUUGCAGCACCGGCACACUGGGUUCUAGUCCCGGUAGGGGCGCCGGAUUCUGUCCCAGUUGCCCCUCUUCCAGGCCAGCUCUCUGCUGUGGCCCGGGAAGGCACUGGAGGAUGGCCCAAGUGCUUGGGCCCUGCACCCCAUGGGAAACCAGGAUAAGUACCUGGCUCCUGCCAUCGGAUCAGCACGGUGCGCCGGCUGCAGCGCGCUGACCACAGCAGCCCUUGGAGGGUGAACCAACGGCAAAGGAAGACCUUUCUCUCUGUCUCUCUCUCUCACUGUCCACUCUGCCUGUCAAAAAAAAAAAAUUAAGAUAUUUAGGUUAAAUUUAUGCAAUAAUAAAGUAUAACUAAUAAACUAUAUCUGAAUAGAAUCCCUAAGUAGAAAGAGAAUGAGUAGACAUGUUAAAAGCUACUUUAUGGCCGGCGCCGUGGCUCACUAGGCUAAUCUUCCGCCUUGUAGCGCCAGCACACCGGGUUCUAGUCCCGGUUGCCCCUCUUCCAGGCCAGCUCUCUGCUGUGGCCAGGGAGUGCAGGGGAGGAUGGCCCAAGUACUUGGGCCCUGCACCCCAUGGGAGACCAGGAUAAAUACCUGGCUCCUGCCAUCAGAUCAGCGCAGUGCGCCGGCCGCGGCGGCCAUUGGAGGGUGAACCAAAGGCAAAGGAAGACCUUUCUCUCUGUCUCUCUCUCUCACUGUCCACUCUGCCUGUCAAAAAAAAAAAAAAAAAAAAAAAAAAAGCUACUUUAUAAUAGUACAACAAAGUGGACUAGAUAGACUUCUAAUGUGAAUCCUAUCCACAAAUUAUCUAUAACCAGGGCCAGCUCUUUAAAGUGUAGUAAUUGCUUUACAUAUUACUAACUUGCUCUAUUCUUUUCUCACCUGAUUUGAAGAUAUGAAUGAGAAAUUCGGCUAGAUUCAACUUAAAAACAAUGCGAAUUUUCUUUUAAAGCAAAGACCACUGAAUAGCAGAUCUGCCAUUAUAUUUCUAAAAUGUGUAUCUGCUUCUCAUGUUGGAACUUGUACUGGAUAUAUUUUACUUUUAUGACAAUUGAGAAAGGUAGAUUUUCGCAUCAUAAUAGAACCCUUCCAUAGACAGUCACUUUAUAUUCCUGAGAUUUACUUAAACCUACAACUCAAGAUUUCUUCUUUCAAAAAUACUCUGCUUCAUUCAUGUACUUAAUUUACCUCGAAAAUUAAACAUGCAUUGUAACUUCAAUAUUUACGAGCUGUGUUAACAGCAAUUGAUACAGAAACCUGGUAUCUUGACUAAAAAGAAGGUGAAAAAUGUACUGAGGUAUAAACCAUAAUAUAAUGGUAAACUAAAAACUUGGGAAGACAAGAGAAAUAUAACGGCCAUGUUGCCAAUCUUUAAUUUUCUUUAAUUGGGUUGUAUUGCAUGAAUUAUGCCAGAACCUGUACUUAUCAGUGACAGACUAAAACACUCGGGGCUUACCAACUUCAUUUGCUAAAAGCCAGUCAUUGGCAGAACAGCACUGGGUAGAACGGGAAAUCUGCAAGAGUGAGCAAAGUGGCCCAGUUCAGCAUCUCUUCAGGUUGUUCCGUAUGGCAGCCGUGUGACCCGGAACAGCACACUGGAGGUCAAGGAGUGACAAGAAGUCGCUAUUGCAUUUCCACAUGAGUAAGGCCACUCUCCAAUUCUCUUGCAAAGAACUGACAGAUGUGCUUAUAGCGUCAGGCUGCCUGUCCUCAAGAGAAAUGGUGUGCAAGGAAAUUGCUUUUUUAAAAAAAAAAGCUGUGCUGUAAACAAAGAACCUUGAUUUCUGUCGCAUAGGGUGGAGAUAAGAUUGCCAAAGGUUGUCGGGGCAGGUGAGACUGAUCCUCGGAGUUCAGUAACUUCUCUUAUCUCAAGACUUCUUAUUGAAAAGAGAACCACCCAAAUCCAUUUCAGUCAAUCCCUGAGUAGAAUGUAAAAUAGAACUUCAGAAGUAAGAGCUCUUUAAUACUCUGUUGUAGAACAGUCGGUCAGAUGCCAAAAGUCUUACAUCUCCCUACAAGGUGUUAUAAACUUCCUAACCUAAAUACUGACUUUUGGAAGCCCUCUGAACUCUAAGACAGCAGGAUGUCACUACCUUUGUUGGAAUUAACUGUCACUAUUUUACACGGGAUUUACAGAAAACUGGCUCAUUAGAUCAUGGUAGCUCCUUCAGUGCUUGCAAGAUAGUUAAACUAAGAAGAAAAGCAAUUAGAUAUAUCAGCUUGAAAAUGUUAUAAGUGAAUGUUUGUUGUAAAGAAUAUUACAGUGUCAUAUGCACACAGAAGGCUGGUAGUUUGCAUUGACUGAAAUUGGAUGAGAGGGUGAAUGGGGAUUUAUAAAUAUGGCUCCCUGACAUGGAUAUGCUUGGAUUCUAAUCAGCUGGUAUUGAUUAACUGAGCAAAAUUCUUCCUGGGUGAAGAGCAAUUGAAGCCAAUCCCAAAGGGACAAAUAUCAUAUGUUCUCCCUGACUGGCGACAACUAACUGAGCACCAAAGGGGAAACUUGUUGAAGUGAAAUGGACACUAUGAGAAACAGUGACUUGAUCAGCUCUUGUCCUGAUGGUUGAUGUACAAUGUAAUACUUUAUCUAUUUUAGUAUUUUUUCUUUGUUCUAGUACCAUUGGUUGAACUCUGUAAUUAACACACAAUUAUUCUUAGGUGUUUAAAUUUUAACUGAAAACUGAUCCCUGUUAGGAAUUUGAAAACAUUAUGUUGAGUGAAAUAAGCCAAUCCCAAAGGGACAAAUACCACUUGUUCUCCUUGAUAGGUGACAACUAACUGAGCACCAAAAAGGAAACCUGUUAAAGUGAAAUGAACACUAUGAGAAACAGUGACUUGAUCAGCCCUCACCCUGACUGUUGAUGAGCAGCUUAAUAUGUUAUCCCUCUUAGUAUUUUUUUUUGUUUGUUCUACUUAAUACUUUUGGUUGACUACGGUAAUCAAUACACAAUUCUUCUUAAGUGCUAAAACUUAACUGAAAAGUGAUUGCUGUUAAAUAUAAAAGUGGGAAUAAGAGAGGGAAGAGAUGUGCAAUUCGGGACAUGCUCAAGCUGACUUACCUCAAACGGUAGAGUUAGAAACAUACCAGGGGAUUCCAAUUCAAUCCCAUCGAGGUUGCAUGUACCAAUGCCAUCUCACUAGUCCCGGUGAUCAAUUUCUGUUCCCAAUUGAUCAUAAUGAUAGGACUAAGAACCAAAGGGAUCACAUAAACAAGAAUAGUGUCUGCAAAUACUAGCUGAUAGAAUAAAAAAGGGAGAGAAUGAUCCAACAUGGGAAGUGAGAUACACAGCAGACCCAUAGAAUGGCAAAUAUCCUAACAGCACUCUGGCCUCAUAGUCAGCCCUUAAGGCAUGCAGAUCCGGCUGAAAAGCCCAUGAGAGUAUUUCAGGCAUGGAAAGCCAAGACACUCUGGGGGAAAAAAAAAACCUAAAUGAAAGAUCUCCACGAGUGAGAUCCCAGUGGAAAGAAUGGGUCAUCAAGGAAGGAGGUAGCUUUCUCUGAAGGGAGGAGAGAACUUCCACUUUGACCAUGGCCUUGUGUAAAUAUGAUCAGAGUUGGUGAACUCAAAAGUCUUCCAUAGCCUUGGCAGCUCAUGACAAGAGCCUCGUGUGAUUACUGAUGCCAUAAACAAGAGUGUCAAUUUGUUAAGUCAACAACAGGAGUCACUGUGCACUUACUCCUCAUGUAGGAUCUUUGUCCUUAGUGUGCUGUACAUUGAGAUUUAAUGCUAUAACUAGUACUCAAACAGUAUUUUUCACUUUAUGUUUCUGUGUGGGAGCAAACUGUUGAAAUCUUUACUUAAUGUAUGCUAAACUGAUCUUCUGUAUAUAAAGAGAAUCAAAAAUGAAUCUUGGGCCGGCGCCGUGGCUCAAUAGACUAAUCCUCCACCUUGCGGCGCCGGCACACCGGGUUCUAGUCCCGGUCGGGGCGCCAGAUUCUGUCCCGGUUGCCCCUCUUCCAGGCCAGCUCUCUGCUAUGGCCAGGGAGUGCAGUGGAGGAUGGCCCAGGUGCUUGGGCCCUGCACCCCAUGGGAGACCAGGAAAAGCACCUGGAUCCUGGCUCCUGCCAUCGGAUCAGCGCGGUGCGCCGGCUGCAGCGGCGGCCAUUGGAGGGUGAACCAACGGCAAAGGAAGACCUUUCUCUCUCUGUCUCUCUCUCUCACUGUCCACUCUGCCUGUCAAAAAUAAAAAAAAAAAA